CAACUUGCAUUUGGUGUGACCAGAGGGCAGCACUUGCAGUUCCAGUAAUAUUAUUGAUUUGAAAUGCAUCGUGGAAAUCUGACAGUAAUUAUGCACCAGGAUAGCUCUGCAAAUCAUUUUGUGACAUGAAAUUGCUCUUCAGUAAUUUGAGCAUUAGACACUAUUGUGUGCUGGUUUAUUUUGUGUUUUCAUUUGCCUGUAUGAAGGGAGAGGUGCAGGUAGAAGUGGCUGAGGAUCUCUUUGAUCAGUGGCCUUUUUUCUUUCAGUUUAUCUGACAAACCAGUUUGAUUUUUAGGUUAUCUGCUGGACAUAACUGCAGUGAUGAAAGAGGGAUUGGUGGUGUUUUCUCUAACACAAACAGGAGUGCUUUAAGUCAGAUGCUCAUUUGGUGUAGACUGCUUUAGCUUGAUAUGCAUCAGGUGUAGGUCUGGCUCAUUUUCUCUUAAUAACUGGCAGCUGCAUAGGCGAUGCCGAGAUCACCUGAAAUUAAUUGCAAGACUAAUUUAAAUAAUUGGGGCAGAACUGGGAGCUCUGAUAGCAGGCAGUUCCAUCAGCACAGCACCAGUGUAGUCUUUGUUCUUCUGCAGAGAAGAAAGGGCCAAGAAUGCUCCACUCUAUUGAAAAAGCCCAGCACCUAACACAGCUUCCAACACUGCUGUUAUUUAAUCAGUGGAAGCUGGAACCAGAUCAUGAGUCAGAUAAACAAGUGAAUUUUUAUCCAGUACUAACUAGUGAGGAGGCUUUCAGAAGAGAAAGGAUAUCUUCUGCUCUCUCUUUCUACGAUGGGAAAGAAGCCUUAGUAUUUUGGAGACCAAAGCUAGAGCAGAUGAUAAUGUGAUAACUCUUGGAACUGAAGCAAAUGAUACCAGGAUAAUCCUCAGUGGUGUCAACUUCUGGGAUAUGGAGAUUUGCUUCUGGUUUGCUUUGGCUGCACAGCUGAAGCUGUAAUAACAGAAUACCUUCAAAAAGUUUGCUUUAGGGAAAGCUAAGUGUGUUCAGAAAUAGCCUGGUGAUUAAUGUGGAGGAGUAGUGUGGGGGAGAAGAUGGGCUGCAAGUUCUGCUCUGUCUGGUUCUAGUUACCUAAUUAAAGUCUCCUGGACCCGAAGCUGAAGUCUCAAAGAUAAACAAGUGGAAAAAAUGAGAGGCUCUUUUCUUUCUCCAGGAGAUCCUUUUAUGAACUGUUUUGAGUGUAAGGAAAAUUAUUUGGAUUUGACCGUAAGGAAAUUCUGUGUUGGCAUAAAUUAGCCAGGACUAAUGACUGGCUCUUGUUUCCUCCAAAACUACAGAUCACUUUGUGCUCUUGCUCACCCCAGGCUUCCCCUGUAGUUUUAGUGAUUGUGUGAUUGCCUUUGAAAUAAAGAAGUAGAUAAUUUGA